UAGACUUAAAUUCCUUCUUAAAUUCCUUGAAGCCGUCCAAUUUCACAAUUCCAAUUGUAUUGAAAAUAAAUUCCCUUCUUAAAUUCCCUUCUUAAAUUCCUUGAAGCCGUCCAAUUGUAUUCUCAUAAUUCUCAAUAUAAUUCUCACAAUUCGUCAACAGCUCAGUCUAUCAAGGCGGCUCUCCCAAUUCAAUUCGUCACCGCCUAUCGGAAACCUCCUCCCCCAAUUCUCACCGCCUCCCCCAAUUCUCGUCUGCAAUAGGUGAUUCAUCUCUGCUCGAGGACGCUUCAUUUCCAGCUCAAGACAAAUUUUCCAGCGGUUUUUCCUCUCACUGACUUCGUUUUCCUCUCAAUUGAGAUCGAGGUGAAUAUCUUCAUUCCUUUGUUCAAUUACUCUUUCGAUUAUGCUAAUUGGUUAGAGAUUUAGAGCUGUAGUGUUCUCCCCUCAAUUUUAGCAAUGGCUUUUGAGUGUUUGAUUUUGAUUAGGAAAUGAAUAUUUUUAGGAAUGAAAUCAGAUUCAGGUGAUUACUUGUAUAGAAUGUUGAUUAUACCGUUGGUUGAAUUAGUAAUAAGAGAAAAUGAGAAUUUUGUAGAUUCGAUUUUACCCUAAUUCGAUUAAAAAUUAGGAACAGAUGUAGAACACAUUCGUGCCAUCUUCCAUGUGUUUGUUAAAAUGUUCAAACAGAUCUUUCUAUGAUUAGGAUUCAAUAAUGGCCAGACUUAAUUAGCAGUGUUUGAUUACCAGAAUGUUAUCUAUAGAGCUUAAUCAAACAAUUUCUGGACAAAUGCACUUAUCUAUAGAUCAUCAUUAUUUUAGCAUUGGAGUAUAAUUGAAAAGAAAUACUCAUUUCUAUGGUACAAUAGAAACAUCGUAAUGACUUACCUCAUCUUCCUCUUCUUUAUCUUUUGCUAUUUUAUCUGGCGAAUUUGCAUCUUGUGCUGGUAUGGGCAAGGGUCUUGGAAGAGAUUUCACAUUAUCCAGAUACUGUGGGUGCUAAAUUGAAGGGAACUGCAGGAGGUAUAAUGUUUCUUUCAAAUUGAUGAAUCAAUUUGCCUGAUUUGUAUUUAUUCUAGGCAAAGAGUGUUAGUGAUUAUCUUCUGAUAGGAUUUGUAAGGUGGUUGUGAGUUUGGUUGCUUUGAAUUUUACAUAGUAAAAUGGAGAAGUGACAUGGGAAGAGGCACAAAAGUGAUACAAUGGUUUCUGAAUUCUGAUGGAUUGCGUACAUGCUAUCUAGUUACUGAUAAGGAAAAUCUGCAUAACUUAUGUUUAUGCUUGAACUUAUAGUUAAAUGCCUAGAGGAGUUCUGUUUCUAUUCUCGGCCAUGAAUCCCGGCCAUGAAUCCCGCAUAGUUGCCAAAAUCUAAGGUACUUUUCUAUUCCGGUUUGUCUCCCAGUGCAUAACUUGCAUAUUUAUCAUAACCUGAUGAUACUAAUUUUUUCAUAACUAGUUUAGGAAUGGACAGGAACAAUUCUUGCUUCCAACAGUUGUAUUACGUUCGUUCUUUUAUGGUGUCAUGGUUAUUUUUAAAAAUGACCUUGUUGCUUGCUAUUCGCUUGCUUGCUGUUUCGACAUUUUGCAGUGUGACACAUCUCAGAGUGUUCCACAAAUCUUAAUGUAUCUGCAAAGUUGCAACUAAAGUUGAUAAUAUUGGAGCUUUCAUUCAUGAACAUCAUUUUAUUCAUUCAUCAAAAUGUCAUUUAACAUGUAGAAUAGCACCAAGAAUUUGAAAAUAGAGAAAAUAUUACAUACUGUUUGAACUUAUAGUUAAAUGCCUAGAGGAGGAUUUACCGGACGACUUAGAGAAGCCUCAUCCCGUGGCACUCAGCUUAAGGAACUAGAGCACGUUCCUCCCGAGCUAGAGAAUAUCUUCACACUUUUUGACGUUCCAGUUUCAGUUGUUUACAUUUUUAAUUAUUGUUAAAUUUUUAUUAAAAUUGUUUGCAGGCUAAAGAGAACCAUGGAAAUUUCCCUCCAUUUUGGGACCUAUUUCUCAAGACUCAUAGGCUAAAGGACUCAUACGAGUUAUGUUCACAACAAGCCAAAGAAAUUGAGGUAAUUUGCUGUUUGAGCUUUACUUCUUUCCUGUUUCAGUUUAGGUGAAUUUUAUUGACGUUAUAAAACAUGUUUAGCUUAUUAUCAUGCUUCUGUAAGUUCUGUUUUGGGAUAGUAUGCUUCUGUAACUUUUCAGAAGAGUAAGUUCUGUAAGUUCUGUUUUCAGAAGAUUAAGAGCUCUGAAUAUAUGCGCCCAUGUUCUACCAGCUCAGCUGUGGGCUCUGCAUCUUCUGGCUCCUCCUAAAAUUCCGUGCCCGUUAAGAAUGCGAAGGAAUCACAAUUUUGAACAAGGAUGGGAUCGGGUAGACAACUGUACAAUCAUCGCUAGCCAAUUCGAGCUUCGUGCAUGGGUAUGCCUUCCUAGUAACAAACAGGUACUUAUGGAACUGAUACAACAGACGGUGGAAUGAUGCGACGGAAGUAACUUGGAAGAGACAACCCAAAUCUCAUAUGGAUGCUUUGGCAGCACCUGCAAGUGAUUUCAUAUACCUUGAAAGGUCUUGUGGGUGUAGUGUUGGGAGUGAGUGACCUAAUCAUAAGCGCAACUGAUAUAGAGAGUGGGCAAGGUUACUCAUACGAGUACAACAAGACCCCGAUGGACGGAGACCAUACAAGAUAUAGAGGAAGUGCCAACGAGCAUUGAUGCUCCGCCGGACUGCGAUACUGUUGAAAGAGGUCGCCCAACUGCGACGGCCAUCAAGUCGCCACGACCCAAGCGGCAAGGUCGACCCCCAGUCAAGUAUAGUGAGUUUGUCCCUCGUUGAAUCAGUGUUGUUAGGGUCGCGGGGCGCCCCGGGGCGAUGAGGGGGGACCCCGGGUCGCGGGGCGAUGGGGCGACGGGGCGAGAGACCCACGAAUCGGGGCGCCAGAAUAGCCGAAUGAUGAUUAUAUUU